rnacentral:rRNA from 1 species
GAUGAACGCUGGCGGCGUGCCUAAUACAUGCAAGUCGAGCGAACAGACGAGGAGCUUGCUCCUCUGACGUUAGCGGCGGACGGGUGAGUAACACGUGGAUAACCUACCUAUAAGACUGGGAUAACUUCGGGAAACCGGAGCUAAUACCGGAUAAUAUAUUGAACCGCAUGGUUCAAUAGUGAAAGACGGUUUUGCUGUCACUUAUAGAUGGAUCCGCGCCGCAUUAGCUAGUUGGUAAGGUAACAGCUUACCAAGGCAACGAUGCGUAGCCGACCUGAGAGGGUGAUCGGCCACACUGGAACUGAGACACGGUCCAGACUCCUACGGGAGGCAGCAGUAGGGAAUCUUCCGCAAUGGGCGAAAGCCUGACGGAGCAACGCCGCGUGAGUGGUGAAGGUCUUCGGAUCGUAAAACUCUGUUAUUAGGGAAGAACAAAUGUGUAAGUAACUAUGCACGUCUUGACGGUACCUAAUCAGAAAGCCACGGCUAACUACGUG